GAGUAGCUCAGUCGGUAGAGUAGAUGACUGUUAAUCAUCGAGUCGCAGGUUCGAGUCCUGCCU
rnacentral:tRNA from 1 species